GUAAUCGCGGUGCGCCGGCUCCACCUUAACCGCACGCUCCAGUUGCCUCUUGGCAGCAGGACUGGGCACCCGUAAGGUGCCACUCCGCUGUGGAAAAGGAACAGCCAUUAAGACCCAUCGGAAAGUGAGGGAAGCAGGCGGACGAUAGACUAGUCCAUUCUGGGGCAGUGGCACAUACACGCACAAAGUCGACGAGCUACACUGGGGAUAGGGGAGCUUCCCUUUCUUCAGUUUUCUCUAAAAGGAAAUAUUUUCAGGAUUAUUUGGUGUGGUGCACGUCCCAGCAUCUAGGAGUUUCAGACAGGAUGAUAUUGUUGCCAGAGUUGAUCUCACAGAAUCUUCAGCACUCUAAGUCAAGCAUAAGCUACUGAGAUUUCAUUGAGCUCUACAUUUGUCCGUCUGGGCAAAGACCUUAUGCGAAGUCAUUUAUUUGGAGGUAUCAGAUAAUCUACUGAGAAAGUGGAAAGCCAGGAGUACAACCUCAGCCAACAGUGACAUCUGAGGGAAGGAAGACAAGGAGAGAGCAAAAUGACUGAGGGCAAGCAGCUAGAAGGGAGAGAAAGAAAAUCAGGAGGAGUGUUACAGGAGUUACGAGAGGGAGUGGUCAAAUCCUUCGAAGCCACAGAUAUGCCUUCCUGUUACUAGAUCCUGAUGGUCCUAUAAAAAAGCCAUGGAUGUAAUCCCAGUGAGCAAUACAGUAAUUAUCCCAAGAACAGC
rnacentral:lncRNA from 1 species